UUGAAGAGUUUGAUCAUGGCUCAGAUUGAACGCUGGCGGCAGGCUUAACACAUGCAAGUCGAACGGUAACAUGGGUGCUUGCACCUGAUGACGAGUGGCGGACGGGUGAGUAAAGUAUGGGGAUCUGCCGAAUGGUGGGGGACAACAGUUGGAAACGACUGCUAAUACCGCAUAAAGUCGCGAGACCAAAGGGGGUGCUUAAGUUUACUUAGGUGCACUUGCCAUUUGAUGAACCCAUAUGGGAUUAGCUAGUUGGUGAGGUAAUGGCUUACCAAGGCGACGAUCUCUAGCUGGUCUGAGAGGAUGACCAGCCACACUGGAACUGAGACACGGUCCAGACUCCUACGGGAGGCAGCAGUGGGGAAUAUUGCACAAUGGGGGAAACCCUGAUGCAGCCAUGCCGCGUGUAUGAAGAAGGCCUUCGGGUUGUAAAGUACUUUCGGUGGUGAGGAAGUUGUGUGUAUGAAAAGUGCAUAUAAUUGACGUUAGCCACAGAAGAAGCACCGGCUAACUCCGUGCCAGCAGCCGCGGUAAUACGGAGGGUGCGAGCGUUAAUCGGAAUGACUGGGCGUAAAGGGCAUGUAGGCGGAUGAUUAAGUUAGGUGUGAAAGCCCCGGGCUCAACCUGGGAAUAGCAUUUAAAACUGGUCGUCUGGAGUACUGUAGAGGGAGGUAGAAUUCCACGUGUAGCGGUGAAAUGCGUAGAGAUGUGGAGGAAUACCGGUGGCGAAGGCGGCCUUCUGGACAGAUACUGACGCUGAGAUGCGAAAGCGUGGGGAGCAAACAGGAUUAGAUACCCUGGUAGUCCACGCUGUAAACGAUGUCGAUUUGGAGUUUGUUGCCUAGAGUGAUGGGCUCCGAAGCUAACGCGAUAAAUCGACCGCCUGGGGAGUACGGCCGCAAGGUUAAAACUCAAAUGAAUUGACGGGGGCCCGCACAAGCGGUGGAGCAUGUGGUUUAAUUCGAUGCAACGCGAAGAACCUUACCUGGUCUUGACAUCCAUAGAAUCUGGCAGAGAUGCUGGAGUGCCUUCGGGAACUGUGAGACAGGUGCUGCAUGGCUGUCGUCAGCUCGUGUUGUGAAAUGUUGGGUUAAGUCCCGCAACGAGCGCAACCCUUAUCCUUUGUUGCCAGCGAUUAGGUCGGGAACUCAAAGGAGACUGCCGUUGAUAAAGCGGAGGAAGGUGGGGACGACGUCAAGUCAUCAUGGCCCUUACGACCAGGGCUACACACGUGCUACAAUGGCGUAUACAAAGGGAAGCGAAGGUGCGAGCUGGAGCGGACCUCCUAAAGUACGUCUAAGUCCGGAUUGGAGUCUGCAACUCGACUCCAUGAAGUCGGAAUCGCUAGUAAUCGUGAAUCAGAAUGUCACGGUGAAUACGUUCCCGGGCCUUGUACACACCGCCCGUCACACCAUGGGAGUGGGUUGCACCAGAAGUAGAUAGCUUAACCUUCGGGAGGGCGUUUACCACGGUGUGAUUCAUGACUGGGGUGAAGUCGUAACAAGGUAACCGUAGGGGAACCUGCGGUUGGAUCACCUCCUU
rnacentral:rRNA from 1 species